rnacentral:rRNA from 1 species
GACGAACGCUGGCGGCGUGCUUAACACAUGCAAGUCGUACGGUAAGGCCCUUUCGGGGGUACACGAGUGGCGAACGGGUGAGUAACACGUGAGUAACCUGCCCACAACUUUGGGAUAACGCUAGGAAACUGGUGCUAAUACUGGAUAUGUGCUCCUGCUGCAUGGUGGGGGUUGGAAAGCUCCGGCGGUUGUGGAUGGACUCGCGGCCUAUCAGCUUGUUGGUGGGGUAGUGGCCUACCAAGGCGGCGACGGGUAGCCGGCCUGAGAGGGUGACCGGCCACAUUGGGACUGAGAUACGGCCCAGACUCCUACGGGAGGCAGCAGUGGGGAAGAUUGCACAAUGGGCGUAAGCCUGAUGCAGCAACGCCGCGUGCGGGAUGACGGCCUUCGGGUUGUAAACCGCUUUCAGCAGGGACGAAGCUUUUUGUGACGGUACCUGCAGAAGAAGCACCGGCUAACUACGUG